GCCCAGGUAUUUCCAGAGCAAAAUACGAGGAUUUAAUGAGGCUCAUAAAGUUCUGUAAUCAGAAGGCAGUGAAGUUUCGCUAUGCAUUUUGAAAUGACUGAUAAUUUGGAAGACAACUGAGACUUAUCUGGUUUCUUUCCCGAAAAAUUGGUAGUUUGAGUGCACUUUCUAUUUAGUUUCGUAUUAUGAGUGUUACAUAGAUUGAAAAACCAAUUUAUUUGGUUCACUAAACACAUGACUUCAUUAUUUUACGUUGUCUGAAAACAUUACUUGGUAUGGAAAAGUCUUAUUGCGCUUUUAAAUUAAAAAUGCGUUUCCUGAG